rnacentral:rRNA from 1 species
GACGAACGCUGGCGGCGUGCUUAACACAUGCAAGUCGAACGGAAAGGCCCUGCUUUUGUGGUGUGCUCGAGUGGCGAACGGGUGAGUAACACGUGAGUAACCUGCCCUUGACUUUGGGAUAACUUCAGGAAACUGGGGCUAAUACCGGAUAUGAGCUCCUGCUGCAUGUUGGGGGUUGGAAAGUUUCGGCGGUUGGGGCUGGACUCGCGGCUUAUCAGCUUGUUGGUGGGGUAGUGGCUUACCAAGGCUUUGACGGGUAGCCCGCCUGGGAGGGUGACCGGGCACCUGGGGACUGCGGGAGGGACCAGAAUCCUAUGGGCGGCAGCAGGCGAGAAUCUUGCACAACGGGGGGGAGCCUGUUGCGGCAACGCCGCGUGCGGGAUGCCCGCCUUCGGGUUGUAAACCGAUUUCGCAUGUGACGAAGCGUGAGUGACGGUACUGGGUAAAGAAGCACCGGCUAACUACGUG